rnacentral:rRNA from 1 species
AUUGAACGCUGGCGGCAGGCCUAACACAUGCAAGUCGAACGGUAACAGGAAGAAGCUUGCUUCUUUGCUGACGAGUGGCGGACGGGUGAGUAAUGUCUGGGAAACUGCCUGAUGGAGGGGGAUAACUACUGGAAACGGUAGCUAAUACCGCAUAACGUCGCAAGACCAAAGAGGGGGACCUUCGGGCCUCUUGCCAUCGGAUGUGCCCAGAUGGGAUUAGCUAGUAGGUGGGGUAACGGCUCACCUAGGCGACGAUCCCUAGCUGGUCUGAGAGGAUGACCAGCCACACUGGAACUGAGACACGGUCCAGAGGCCUACGGGAGGCAGCAGUGGGGAAUAUUGCACAAUGGGCGCAAGCCUGAUGCAGCCAUGCCGCGUGUAUGAAGAAGGCCUUCGGGUUGUAAAGUACUUUCAGCGGGGAGGAAGGGAGUAAAGUUAAUACCUUUGCUCAUUGACGUUACCCGCAGAAGAAGCACCGGCUAACUCCGUG